rnacentral:rRNA from 1 species
UACGGAAGGCAGCAGUGGGGAAUAUUGCACAAUGGACGAAAGUCUGAUGCAGCAACGCCGCGUGGAGGAUGACACAUUUCGGUGUGUAAACUCCUUUUAUAUGAGAAGAUAAUGACGGUAUUAUAUGAAUAAGCACCGGCUAACUCCGUGCCAGCAGCCGCGGUAAUACGGGGGUGCAAGCGUUACUCGGAAUCACUGGGCGUAAAGAGCAUGUAGGCGGAUUAAUAAGUUUGAAGUGAAAUCCUAUAGCUUAACUAUAGAACUGCUUUUGAAACUGUUAAUCUAGAAUGUGGAGAGGUAGAUGGAAUUUUCUGGUGUAGGGGUAAAAUCCGUAGAGAUCAGAAGGAUACCGAUUGCGAAGGCGAUCUACUGGAACAUUAUUGACGCUGAGAUGCGAAAGCGUGGGGAGCAAACAGGGAUUAGAUACC